rnacentral:rRNA from 1 species
UACGUAGGGGGCAAGCGUUAUCCGGAUUCACUGGGUGUAAAGGGAGCGUAGACGGCCAUGCAAGCCUGGAGUGAAAGCCCGGGGCCCAACCCCGGGACUGCUCUGGGAACUGUGCGGCUGGAGUGCGGGAGGGGCAGGCGGAAUUCCUGGUGUAGCGGUGAAAUGCGUAGGUAUCAGGAGGAACACCGGCGGCGAAGGCGGCCUGCUGGACCGCGACUGACGUUGAGGCUCGAAAGCGUGGGGAGCAAACAGG